GGGUCAAAUGUCAAGUCUAGUGGGUGUGCCCAGGUCACAGGUCAAAUAUCAAGGCUAGUGGGUGUGCCCAGGUCACAGGUCAAAUGUAGUGGGUGUGCUCAGGUCACAAGUCAAAUGUUAAGUCUGGGGGUGAGGCCGUUCAUGUGAUCAAGUCUCGGCAGACCUAAAGGGUGUGUUUCGUUGUUCUCGUGUUCGUCAACGUUUUUGGAACGUUUUGAUACUUUAGCGAAAAACGCCCUCUAGAAACGAAAAAUGCAACAUUGUGCCCAAACGGCCGAUAGGUGACGUUACCUUGGACAAUGUGAGACACGUGUGUAGUCAAGCGCCAAGUUCCACAUACCACACACACACACACACACACACCACUGCACAAUUCUUGGUUCUGAUAGUCAGCAUUCAACUUCGACCAAAAUUUGAUUCCCGCGUUCGUAUCCCUACCAUACUAACAGUGUGGGAAGGAUACGAGCACGUGAUGGCCGAGGUUGCAUGCCGACCUAAUAUUUAUUAAAAUGAAUUUAUGUAUGGAAUUUUUGCAUGUGACGAGCUAUUUAUGAAUACUCGGGAUAAAAGGGGCACAUUUUAGCCUUCAGGGUCUACAACAACGUGAGCUUACACGAAGAUAAGUAAAUAUGUAGCAUCGGACCCUUCACAGACCUUUCUUGAUUGACAGCUGCUACUCUCUUAAUCCCCGGUUCGGUCAGUAAGGAGGAUACGCAAAGUAGCUGAAUAUUCCGUACAUACUCAGAAAAUUUAAACAUCCCGUCCACCAUGAAGAUUGCACCCGUUUUCGUUCUCGCACUGAUCGGAAUGGCCGCGGCCGCGCAAGGUGCCAAAUACCCGAAAAAACAGAGGGCAAUUUAGAUUUUCAAGGCGAAAAAGCACAGAUUACAGUGCCUUCGUCCCUCUUUAUCAGUUAAACGUUCGACCAGGAAGGAUACUCAAAGUGAGCUGCGUAUUUUUUUAUACAGAAAAUUAAACAUCCCGUCCACCAUGAAGAUGAUUUUCCUUCUUGUCCUGAUUGGAAUGACUGCGCAGGGUGCAAAAUUAACAGAAGAAACGGAGGCCAAGUUAGACGCUCAGGGUCAAAAAGCAGAUUUCUGCCCAACGAUGGAAGAAGCUUGCAGAGAUAGCAACGGUGGCGUGGACUUUUGUGUGGAUACUCCGGCGGCAAUCGUGGCGGAGUGUAUUUAUCCGCGCCGUUCUAAUUUUGACGACGCAUGCGUAACAUUCUCUGGCUGCAAUAUCACCGUUGGUUGGAGUACCCAUGUGUGCAUUUGUUAAAUAACAAAUGCAACACGGCUAGGAAUAUUCUUAGCCGUGUUGCUAUUACAUACGUUGAACUACAUAUAAAAAAUAAUAUUGUACUUUGAUAAAAACCAAAUUGUAUGUAAAUUGAUGUAAUAAAAUGGAAAAUUGGGUUUCUUUGUUUAUUGAGA